CCUACGGGAGGCAGCAGUGGGGAAUUUUGGACAAUGGGCGAAAGCCUGAUCCAGCGAUGCCGCGUGAGUGAAGAAGGCCUUCGGGUUGUAAAGCUCUUUUGUCAGGGAAGAAACGGUGAGGGCUAAUAUCCCUUGCUAAUGACGGUACCUGAAGAAUAAGCACCGGCUAACUACGUGCCAGCAGCCGCGGUAAUACGUAGGGUGCAAGCGUUAAUCGGAAUUACUGGGCGUAAAGCGUGCGCAGGCGGUUUUGUAAGUCUGUCGUGAAAUCCCCGGGCUCAACCUGGGAAUUGCGAUGGAGACUGCAAGGCUAGAAUCUGGCAGAGGGGGGUUAGAAUUCCACGUGUAGCAGUGAAAUGCGUAGAGAUGUGGAGGAACACCGAUGGCGAAGGCAGCCCCCUGGGUCAAGAUG
rnacentral:rRNA from 1 species